rnacentral:rRNA from 1 species
AACGUAGGAUGCGAGCGUUAGCCGGAGUUACUGGGUGUAAAGCGCGUGAAGGCGGUCGUUUAAGGGGGGAGUGAAAGCUCCAGGCUCAACCGGGAGAGGACGUGCCAAACUGCAGGGCUAGAGGCAGGUAGAGGAGUGUGGAAUUCCGGGUGUAGUGGUGAAAUGCGUAGAGAUCAGGAGGAACACCAGUGGCGAAGGCGACACGCUGGGCCUGGCCUGACGCUCAGACGCGAAAGCAUGGGGAGCGAACGGGAUUAGAUACCCGGGUAGUCC